GGAUAUGUGGAUGAAAAGUCUUAAUUGGAACUGUGACUUGUAAACCCACCGUAAGUUUAUUUGGUUUUCACCUGGAAUUUCUAUUUGGAACCCGCCCCCUCCUGGAAUUUUAAGGACCUCUGCAACUCUGAACAAAGGGAAAUGCCCAAGAUGUCCUGAUCUAAUUAGUUUAAUUCUUUGGGACUUGUUAAGCAUUUCAAAAGAAUUAGACUAACAGAUUCCUGUGAAAUUCUGUGUGUGUUCCAGCUAACAUCCAUCAAAGUCUAGAAACAGAUGUUUUCAGUGCUGCUGAGAGAAACAAAAAAAUGUCCUAAUGCAUCUGAGAGAUAAGCUUCUGCAGUAUCACAAGAAGAUUAAAGUGGCAGACACUCCUUCCAGCGGAAGUUACUAAUUCGGACCUGACUGAUGCAGUUCCCAUAGCAACCUGUGUUUCCCGGGAAACCCGAAAAGGUUGUCAUGGCAUCUCUUGCUCUCUAGCCCCACCCCCUAGCCCUUGCCGUUUCCACUGUAACCUUUCCAGAUGGUUCCUGCUUACAUGAUUUCACAAGGAAAACCGCUAUUUGAAUAAACCGCACAAAUAAAGUUCAGUCUGAGAAACUGAGGUGGUGAAAUGAAUUACAAAAAUGCAUAUUUGUACUACAAAAAAAAUCACUGAUGUCAUCCCCAUAAUUACUGAAUCGACAAGGAAAAUAUCGUCAUUGGAAUGUUAAAUAUACCCCACAAUAAGCCAUGAUUUGAAUUAAAUACCAGUAAUUAGGCAAUCAUUUUAAAAGAUGCUUCUCUACUGUUUUCUUUCCCCCAAGAAGUUUCAAGUCAACAAAUGAAAUUAAAAAGCAAAUGUAAAUGUGUUCUGCACAUAAGCAAAUGCAAGAUGCAAUCCGUUAUACCUGAAACCUUACUACAAGGGACCUUCAGAUUUCCUCUUUAAAAAAAAAAAAAAAAUCCAGAUUCCACAACAACACUAUCACUAUCACAGCCCUUGAAAAACUAAAUGUGCUUGAAAACUAUAAAGGAUGCACUCUUUUAACUAAGGGAAUUGCAGACAAUCAAUAAAAAGGAGGGACAGGAAGUAACCAAACCUUGGAGAAAUACCUGCAAGAUUCAGCCUUGUGCCAGGGGUUGCCAGAAGACAGACAGUAUCAGGGAGCCCCCAACCUCACCCUCACCCCUCCCUGGACAGCACAAAGGUCUGGGGAAUCUCUAUGCAGAUCCCCAUGAAUUCUUUAGAAUGAAAAUCAGCAUUAUGCCUGUGGGUUACAGAUACCCGAGGAGCCCCACAUAAAGAAGUGUAGAGCUGAACCAACCAGUAGGAUGCACAUUCCAAAUUGCCUACAUCAAGAAUACAGUGUUGGUUGUAUCAUGGAUGGGCGAUGAUCUGUCGGCCAGCACAUAUUUUUGUUCCAGUUGACAUUAAAUAACAUCUCUCGCUAACGAAUGCUUCAUGUAAAGGAAACAGCUCUGAGGCCAGAGGAUUUUCUUCAGAUUGUGUGCAAUAUAAAAGGUUGACCAAGAGAUAAAGAAGAACAUUAAAAAUUACUAAGGUAUCAUUUCAGUCUUUGACAUUUUGAUGACGUUUAAUCAUUCAAAAACUAAUCAGUACUGCUGAUAAAGAAAAACUAAAUGUUUGUUUCCAACAAGCCAACUUUUUACUGUUUUCUUCUUUUGGUUCAUUACUGGACUGUGUUUAAUCCUCUUGUAUAUUAAUGUUAUCUUUUAUGUUCUGGUUUACAUGGAGUUCCCGUCGUGGCUCAGUGGUUAACGAAUCCGACUAGGAACCAUGAGGUUGCGGGUUCGAUCCCUGGCCUUGCUCAGUGGGUUAAGGAUCCAGUGUUGCUGUGAGCUGUGGUGUAGGUUGCAGACAUGGCUCGGAUCUGGCGUUGCUGUGGCUCUGAUGUAGGCCAGCAGCUACAGCUCCGAUUGGACCCCUAGCCUGGGAGCCUCCAUAUGCUGCAGGAGCAGCCCAAGAAAUGGCAAAAAGACAAACAAACAACAAACAGCCAAAAAAAAAAAAAAAAAAAAAAAAA
rnacentral:lncRNA from 1 species